GCCUGACCGGUUUUUUUUUCUUUUGAUAAAAAUCAGAUGACGACUUAGCAAUUAACAACUGCUUGUUAAUUUAGUGCUUAUUGGAUACCUGCUGUAUCAACCCGUAGGUCAGGUACUAGGAAUAUAAAGCACAAUAAGAGAUUGGCGUCACGGGACAGGCUGGUUCAGCAUUCCCAGCAGCACAGAAUAGUUGCUCAGUGGUGCUGGAUUCCCUGCCAUCUUGCCACUUCUCAGAAUGAAACUCCAGGCUUUGUAGAGCUUCUGCUCUGCUCAGGCAGGACAAACUUGCAUCUUGGGCAUUUGUGGUCCACCUGAUAGGUCACAUGUACAGUGUUCUCUUGGCCCAUUGUUGAGAUAGCCGUGUGACCCAGGUUCUUAGAAACCACCAGUGUCACGGCCUAGCAAUGGGUCCAGCCUGCUCAUAGGAGAAUCCCUACAUAUACAGGUGGGAAAUGAGGCUCCUUGGAGAAUAGUACUACUUUAUUGGGUUUAACUAGAGGAAGGCCACUAAGAAUUAGUAUCUGGUGUGGAUUAAUAGAUUUGUUUUUAAAAAUGCAGUUGGCGGAAGGGAAGUCCAACCCAUUGAUAAGUUUUUGAGCAUCCAUCUCCAGGUUAUAGUCAUUUGUUUAGCAAUUAUUUAUGUCUACUACUGUAUUGGUAUGUUAAAUAUAAUCAUUCAAAGGUAGAAAUGAGAAAGAAUAUUAAAAAUCAAUAUGGGGCCAGGCACAGUGGCUCACACCUAUAAUCCCAGUACUUUGAGAGGCCAAAGUAGGAGGAUCACUUGAGGCCAGGAGUUUGAGACCAGCCUGGGCAACAUAACAAGACGUGCCAUCUCUAAAUAAAUUAAAAAAUGUGAAGGGAUGUGCUAAAAAUUACUUUCUGUCUCCCAGUGAUCAUCUUGUGUUUCCCUAGGGCUGUGUGCUCCCCACUUUGGAGACCACUGCCUAGGGGGAAUCCCUAGUCCCAUUAUAACACCCCACCACCCUGUGGCUUAUUCCAGGGGUAAAGAAAAUAAAUGCACUCUGAGGCUGGUAUCUACCUCUAGUUGGAUCCCUGCUAAUCCUCAU
rnacentral:lncRNA from 10 species